GAAGAACACAAGAACAGGCCUGGGACUUAUAUACUUAGACGACCUCUGUUGAAUCAUGACCUACUGUCCUACCACGAGCGGUUCCUCUCCUUCAGGGACGACUUUACUGCGCUGUGCGUCGCUCGACAUCGACGGGCGUCACAAAUGUUUGGUCUCGCCGACGCACUGUAUUCCUUCUAUUAUUACAACUGGUUCUUCGACCUACAGUUUGUAGGUGACAUCGAGAGUUUAGAUGAGGAGUGGCAGAGGGAGGACAGAAGCAACGCCAUGCUCUCCGUGGACACUGACUGCGUGCAGCUGUUGGCGAACGCCCUCGACCACCCCACGUGUCCGCUGGAAGACCUGCCACCGGAAACCAAAAACCUGC